ACUUAUUUAAUAUAAAAAGUAUAUUAAGCUUCCAACUUAAAUGUUCUAAAAAGAAAUAAGUA
rnacentral:tRNA from 1 species